UUAUGGCCACAUCACCUUGAAACACCAGUUCCCAUACAAUUACCAAAGUUAAGCAAUGUCAAGCAUAGUUAGUACCUAGAUGAGUGACCGCUUGGGAAUAACAAGUGUUGUAAG